AUCGUGGGGUCAGGACACGUACCUGCUGGGUGGACCUGGAUGGAUACCCGCCCGGGGCCCCUGCAAAAGUGGCCACGAGUCUGUGUGUUGCCUGGGCGAAGAGAGGACCGCUCCCUUCCCCCAGCCCUCCUCCUAAGCUGCCCCCACGGACGUGAAUUCACAGCAGCAUGUAUAGUGCCAGCCUCCUGCCCCAAUCCCUUAAGACCCUGAUAUCUGCCGACUCAGCCCGGGCGCCUCCUCCUUGGGCGUUUUUUGAUGUUAAAUUCCAGGUGGUUUUUGCCUCUUCCAAGCUCAAAGACACAGAACUAGACCUUCACUUUCGGUCGUGGGACUGGUAAGCCUGGCAAGCAGCCGAGAUUGAGGACGGGAUGAAAAAUGACUGGGACACGCACAGAGGAAAGACCGCGUGAGGACCCAGGGAGAAGGCAGCUGUUGACAAACCAAGGAGAGAGGCUGCA